UUCGUAAUACACGGCCGUGGGAUUAUUAGCUGCAAAACACCUUAAGAAAAAUGUUCGAUGUCGGCCUUCAUCAGCGGAUCCAGAGGGAUUGUGGCCCCCUCCAGCUUGGAAGUCAUCGGGCGAGUCACACAAGGUGAGAAUAUUAGCAUCUUUGAGGACAUCCGGACGGUAGACAAUGUCUCUUCCACGAGUGCCGGCUCGUACCAAUGGACCAAGGUCAGACCAGCAUUGGUCAGCCAGGUUCUUAGCUAUCUUCGAGAGUAAAUCGUCGGGAAGAGUCGGGUUAACCAUGUUUGAAAUGAGAUAGUCAGAGGUCGUCAGUAAUUUCUUCACUUUAAUAACCACUACUGUGAAUUUGGUUGGGGCAAUUACGGUUGAAAUGAAUGUCAUACUUGUGUUGGUAAGCGUUGGCUGUCAAAUCAAUUUAUCACUUGAGUUAUGUUAUAAAGUUAAUAUGCAGUGUACGAGACAUAUAGAUAUGUACGUACACAUUUACAUUAUGUAAUUAUAAGUGAACGAUGUGUACGACAAUAUAAUAGAGGACAAUAAAUUAACUUCUGACAAUCUCCAAAUUAAAUGUAGUUGCAAUCAUAUAUAUAAGUCAGGUUUGUUCAUAAUAAUUGGUUGCAAAGAACCAGAAUAUUGUUCUUGGACGAUUAAACCAAGUGCACAGUACCGGCCUCCCGCUUGCCGUGCUCGUAGAUGUCAACGGAGUAUUUCUGACGGUAGAAGACCAUAUCUGCUUCUCGAAUGGUUGUCAGAUCCGAAAAAGGGUGUCCAAACGCAAGCAACUCCAGGAACUUCCUCGUGUAUGGCCCGCAAUUUCCUGUAGUUGGGUUUUGAGCAACGGUAGGACAACGCACAUACUCAAAAGGUUCAACUGAGUACGGAGAAAUCAAUACAUCCUGGCACAUCGCUCUGACUAAGUACGGCAUCAUUUCGCAAAUAGGAGUCAUUCUCGCCUUCACAGCCGACUCCCGCGUGUGCGAUAUUAAAGCGUCAUACACAGUUAUUAGCCGUUCAUUAAGGUUGAUUCCCAAAGCAACCCAAUGUUCACUCUUCCAGUUCAUCGGAGCAAACACAACAUCGACAUCCUUCAUCCACUUCAUAUUGGGUUCACGGUUUAUGUGAACUCCAUUAGCAAUGUCGGACAGUAAUUUACCCCAUUUGAACCCGUUCUUAUUAAUACACUUCUUGAAGUCGCCCACCCGCUUGGUAAGAAGAUGCGUCAGCAUCAUGUCCAAUACAAUACAUCUGUUUGCUAUCAUCUGUUCCCCGUUCUUGUGCCACAUCAACAUUGCCAUCAUUUCUAAAUGCUGAAAUGUUCAAAAAAUAUAUCAGUGUACAUACACUUCCACGAAAAAUUUAAUCAUCUAUGUACAAUUUAUAACAAGGAAUGUACGUAUAUAAAUGCAACGUACCGUACUUUCGACCCAUUCACCAGGUGUUAGAAGGUUCGCAAAAAAGUCGUUGGGCACUUUUGGAAACCCGAAAAGAGUGUGAAUCCUGUAAAAUCCAGAAAAAUAUUUGAUAACAACCUUAAAAAUGAUGAUUGAGAUAUUAAAUAAUCCAUUUUACUAUAAUGUACUUACACAGAGGGUCCUUUAAUGAUAUUGCUGAAUUCCUCUACUUUUGAAGGGUCAACCAUGUCCAGGGGGUUGUAUGAGACAUUUCCAGCCCUGAUAACAACCUCUAUCUGUUGAGCUGGUACAUCGGGCACCAAUACUGUUUUUGCCUUAAAACCAUGAGGAUGGGCAUCAUCCUGUUCAUAGACAAGUUGUUUCUUCACUUUCUUUGGGACCUUUGGGGACGAUUUUUUUUCUUCUUUUGCUUCGACAGCAGCAGCAUUGUCUGAUUCAUCCUGUUAACAAAUAUGAUUGUCAACAACAGUUUCAUACGUUUUUCUAUGUUUAAAAUAGGUACAUACAUUAUUUUUAGGAAUAUCGGUCUUGUCUGCUUCAUCUGACCCUGGGUUAGGAUCCUCAGUUUCUACAGACCCCUCGACAAUACACGGCUCUUCCAUGACUACCUGUGCAAGUUAACGUACACAAGUAUAUAUAAUGUACACAUAUAAUCCUAUGUAUGCUAUUCCGAAAAUAGGAAUUGAAACACACAAAUUAUUACCUCCAAAUCAGUGGCUGCAGCUAAAUCACCAACGGCUUUGGUAUCCAACUCCCGUAUGACCUGCAUAAUAUAAAUUUUAUACAUUUGAACAGUAAAUAGUACAUUUUAUUUGUUGCAAGAGUAAGCUUACAUUGUUAACUACUUGAAAUGGUGACGGGGGAUCACUGUGGGUCUUCUCAGGUAUUUCAACUUCCAUCACUGUCACUAAUUUGGAUUCUCCUGCCGCCUCAACCUGUAGAAUUUAGCAUCGGAAAGAAACUUUUUAGUAAUGUAUGCUUUUUAGUAAUGUAUGAAACAAUAUAUAUGUACACAGAACAUAGUGACAAAAAUGUACGUACACUUGUGGCAGGUACGUGAGCUGUGUCUCCAUCAGAAGGCUCAUAAGUUUCUUCUGACUUGCUGCCAUUAGCUUCAGUCGAUGCACUGGCAUCUCUUGCUUCAUCCUGAAACAAAAAUAAUUUGCAAAGUCUUAUGGGCGUACACAUAUGGAAAAAGAACAAGUGACUAACACAUACCUGUGCAGAUGUUGAAGGUAAACCUGAUGGAUUGUCUACCAUCUCUAUGUCAGCAUCAGCUAUUUCAUCGGCCCCUGUAUGGGUACCAACUAAGCCAGGUUCAGCAACAUCCUUUGGUCCAUUAUCCUGAAACAUAGGCUACCAUAGAGUUAAGCGUUAGAUAAGUGAAGAAAUUAAUGUAAUAGUUAUGCAUAUAGUCAUGGAAAUCUGUAUAUAACGAUUACCAGAAGAUCUACCUCUGAAACUCUUGCAGACACAUUAGAUGGAACUUCUUCCAUCUCGGUGUCAACAGUAGCUUCUUCCACAGGCCUCUCUUCCUGUGUUACAAAGACAGUCCCAGACAUUGAACCUAAGAAGACAGUCUUACCAACAACAACAUUUCCUCUAUCCUGAAACAUAGUUUAACUAACUUCUUAAGCGAAUAUGUACGUACACCAUUUAAACAGAUUGUUAAGAGUAUUAGUAGACGACAUACCAGAUGGGAUUGUGUGGAUCCAGCAUAAGGAACUAUUAAAAAUCCAGUGUCUAAUAUCUCUUCUUCAGCGGCAGAAGAAUUCAAUCCAUCAUUUGUAGUAAAAUCACUUUCAUUAUUAGCGCCAUCCUGUAUCGAACCAGACAGUACAGUUAUACAUAUGUGUUAUAAAAUAUUUAGCAAUAUACGUACAUGACU
rnacentral:sRNA from 1 species